GUUUUUCAAGCAGAUUUCCUACAAAGCACAGUUACUGUAAUGCUGAGCCCGUGAUGGCUACAGUCAAAGAAGUUGGCUUCCGGGAAGGCUUUGUAGCCUCUGUACCAUUGACCAGUUGGUAUACUUACCGCGCAAUCUAUCAGCAUCGUCCAUUUUACUGAGUCUGGAAGGUACCUGAUGCCAAUUCAAGUACAGGUUCCUUUGCAGAGGGACACUAGAAUGGAUAUAUAUAUACAUUGUCCUUUGCAUCACAUAUUUUCCCAUGACUCUGAGCGAAGUAUGGAAUGGUUGUUACAAAAUAAGCAAAGAAGCAGGGGGAUUAUUCCAAUGGUCUUGCAAGUUUGGCGAAUUUCAUCUUCUUCAAAAGGGGAAAAAAAUAACUGUGUCCUUGUGAGCAAAUGAUUAGAAGAAGACUGGGAAUACAAUAAUUACCCCAAAUGGAAACUCAGACCGCAGUCAAACAAUACAGCUUUUGUAAACCGGCUCUGCCUGUAAAAAAUCUAGGAAAUCUCAUAACUAGAGCUGGCGAAAUCCUUUUCUUAUGCAACGAUAUGUAAAAGGCUCCUGAGAAAUGAGGAGUAAACAUGGGAACGCUAUAAAAUGCCAUGGUAAUGAACUUGCUCUGAGGAUCGGAGAUCGCCUUAGCGGUACCAGCAUGGAUUCUUUCAACCACAAAGUAUUUUCUCAUGUUGCAGAAUUUGGGACAAAUUACAUUUCGUGACAUUUCGCCAAUAAACAAGCACGUGAAGAGAAAUAAACCGAGACU
rnacentral:lncRNA from 1 species